UGUCAAUGUAUUUUGAGCUUAUUUUGGGGACUAUGGGUUGGGAGGUAGAACCAGACCUCACUUCAACAGAAAUAAAAAAAAUUUGAAGAUUUUCAUGCACAUGAAUGUGUACCAGAUGCAUGGAUGGUGCCAUUGGAGGUCAGAGAAGACAUAAGAUCCCAUUGGAUCCCCUGGCACUGGAGUUACAAGUGGCAGCGAGCUGUCCCCUGUGUUCUGGGAGCUGAACUCUGGUCUUCUAGAAGAGCAGCCUGUGUUCUUUACAGCUCAGCCAUCUCUCCAGCCCCAUCCUUGGGGUAUUUAUCUCUUUCCCUUUGUUUCUGCAGUGUUUGGGGAAUGCACUCAGGACCCGUUCGUAACAGACAAGUGUGUCAUAGCAGAUCUAUGUCUCCAGCUCAAAGCUUUCUCCACAGCAGCAACGAUUCUUCCGGGAAAGGUAAGUGUUCCCUGCAGGUAGUGUCCCUUCCCGGACUUCGCACUGCGCUGAGAGCAGUUAAUGGGUAUCCCUUCCCACAGUCCUUUUCCACUCACCAAACUGUACCCACCUCUGCUUCCCCCUCAUUCCCUGGCCACCAUUCUGCAUCCUGACAUGGCUUAGGAGUCCACGGGAUCUGGGUCCUGCCAACUGCCUAGACCUCAUUCUCUAUCUCGGCUCUUAUUUGGUUUCCUCAUGGUCACUCUGGCCCCCCUGGCUACUUUGGACCACGGCUCACUCAGGGCUUUCUGUCCCUAUGCUGCGACUGUCCCCAGACAGCUUCUAGCUCCUACCUCACAUACUCUAAGAUCGUUUGAAUGUGAACUGUCCCUCCCAGGCUCAUACGUUUGAGCACUCAGUCCUCAGUGAGGAGUGCUGUGUUGGGGGUUGUGGAACAUUCAGGAUGGGGAUCAUGAUUCGUAAAGACAUUUGUAAAGAGGACACUCGGGUUGGCCUCUAAGAAUGAUAACUCAGCCUCUCUUCCAGGCCUACCACCACUUCCUGCUGUGAUAUAAGCAAGCCACAAUCUCCUGUAGCCAUUAACUGAACCCGCAGGCACCAUGUCUUCCCUCAGAUAAGCGACUGUUUUACUUAGGGUUUCCGUUGCUGUGAAGAGACACCCUGACCACAGUGACUCUUAUAAAGGAAAGCAUUUAAUUGGGGCUGGCUUACAGUUCAGAGGUUUAUUUAGUCCAUUACUGUCAUGGUAGGAAGCACAGGUAAGAGCUAGUGAUGAUAACCUAGUGACCUUGGAUGAUCUAGUGGCCACACAUGGAGUGUGCCUCUUCGAGCUGAUGGGAUCAGUGUUAGGUCAAGACAAGAGUGAACGGUGCCUCUUAGGAUCUAGGCCUAAACAUCAGAAGGAUGAUGCGGCCAUGUCUGUAUCAUGGAGAGGGACGGGUACCACUCUCAGGAUGUUGGAAACGAGUGCCUGGAAAUCCUGCUGUUUUAGCAGGGGAUGCUUCCUGCCCGUAGCCCAUUGGUGGCUUCACAAGAGGAGUGGUCAAGUUGAAGAUGGAGUUGCUGUGUGGAAGGUUCAGCUUACAAGCCAUUGGAGAAGCAUGGCUGGGCACAGGCAGCGGCCUCUAGCUCUUGGGCUGGCCAGCGCUUCUUCCUCCUUCCUCCUCUCUUCCCUCUGUCCCUCCCUCUUUCCCUCCCUUUUGGAAAGGGUCUCACUAUGUAGCUCAUACUGGUCUGAUCCUCCUGCCUCAGCCUGAGUGCUUGGACAGCAGGCUUGCACUGAAUUACUGGCUCAUUCUGACGUUGCUGCAGCUGUUGCUGCUCGAUGCAGAGUUAAACACUGAAGCCCUGUGUGGACUGGUAUCAGAGGGAGCUGCGGACCCUGAUUGGCUGGUAAGAGGGAGCUCCGGACUCUGAUUGGCUGCUGCAGCCUAUCACGACUCAUCGGGACUAGAAAAGAAGAUAUGACCAUGGAGUGGGCGUGGAGGACGGACAACUCUUCAAGGGGGGUGUGGGGGAGAGAGCGUCACACUUUCCAGUUUGCUCUUCUGCACUCUUCUCCAGUUCCAGGGCAGGCAGCCAGUCCAGGCUCCUGUCUCAGCCUUAGUGGCCCCUUCUUGCCCUUCAAUUCGGAAAAGCCUGGUCCUGCUGCAGGAUCGGUCUAGGUACUCUAGACCUGGACACUCCUCAACAUCCCCCCGCCACUUGAGCACCCCUUCCCAACCCACAUCAGGUUGUUCUUAUUGCUACCCAGUCUGUUUGCCCCCUUGCUCAAGACCUGUCCUGCUCACUCAUGUCUCCACCACUCAAAAUGGCCUCCCUUGUUGAAGGAAGUCUCUGCAUACCUGACAAGCAGACAGCAAUAGUAGGGAAAUACUGUUGGCCAUUUCUUAGCUCAUUUUUAGAUUCUUAUAUCUAUCACCCUUCCAACCCUUAUCAAAUUUUCCCAGAAUUCCAAACAAACUAUCUGCUGCUGGCAAAAAACACACCCCUCCUAGUGCACGAGAUAAAUCGUAGUCACCUGCUAUGAGGCAAGCCCAUAUCCCAUACUAAACAUAGUCACAUAACAUAACUGUUUUUUGUUUUUUUGUUUUUUAGGAAACCAGAAUUCCCACCUCACACCACAGCUAUUUCUAACGCUGCAAUGGGCGUGGCUCUACCUAAGUUGUCACCGAGUGGAAAGGUCAGAUGCUGCCUUCCCAUGAUGCAACAGCAAAGGCCUAAAAUCCCGUUCCACACAGAGCCUUCACUGCGGUUUCCCUUUCAGCGUCUGGGUGCGGAGUGAGAAUACGCAGGGCCUGCAGAAUGCGGGGCUCACAGCAACCCUCCUAUAAAAGUGGACUGUCAUGCCCAUUCUACAGGAGAAAAACUGAGGCUGGAGAACGCGAGCUAUCCUGUCCAAGGUUAUGAAGCCACCCAGGUUCCAGCCUCCAUGCUUGCCCAGGGAGUGGCACUAUUAGAAGGCGUGGCCCUGUUGGAGUAGGUGUGUCACUGUGGGCGUGGGCUUUAAGACCCUCAUCUUAGCUGCCUGGAAGUCAGUCUUCUGCUAGCAACCUUCAGAUGAAGAUGUAGAACUCAGCUCCUCCUGCACCAUGCCUGCCUGGAUGCUGCCAUGCUCCCACCUUGAUGAUAAUGGACUGAACCUCUGAACCUGUAAGCCAGCUCCAAUUAGAUGUUGUCCUUAUAAGAGUUGCCUUGGUCGUGGUGUCUGUUCACAGCAGUAAAAUCCUAAGACAGUGACCCAGCCUUGAGUCUAGCUGCUCUUACUCUUAAACCUGUCCGUGGUCUGCAUGAAAAUGGCCCCCAUUGGAUCAUAUAUUUCAAUACUUUGUCCCCAUUUGGUGGAACUCUUUGGGAAGGUUUGGUGGGUGUGGCCCUUUUGGAGACUCAUGAGUGUAAGCAUAGAAUCUUGCUAAAUUGUCCAGGCUGGUCUCAUACUUUGAUUCUCCCACCUCAGUCUUCCUAGCAGAUGGGAUUAGAUAGAUACAGACCUCAGAUCCACUGCCUUCUGCUCUUAGUCAGGGCUGGGAAGCAAACCAAGAGUCUCUAUAUAAAUAUUUCUGGGCUGGUGAGAUGGCUCAGCUGGUAAGUAAAGGUGCUUGAUGGUAACCAACCCAAAUUAGACCUCUGAUACCCGGGGGGGUGGGGGGACGGACUGUGCAUAAAUGUUUUUGGGCCUAAGAAACGGCUCAGCAGGUAAAGACACUUGCAUCCAAGCCAGACGACCGAGUUUUGAUCCCCCAGGACUGGACCAAUGGAUAUGAUGAAAAUGAACUGACUCUGGAAAAUUGACCUUUGCCCUCCACAGGCAUACUGAAGUUCUGAUUCGCAAGCUCCCCUUUCAGCGUCUGGUGCUGGAAAUUGCUCAGGACUUCAAAACAGACCUGUGCUUCCAGAGGGAAUCUAUUGGUGCUUUGCAGGAGGCAAGCGAGGCCCAUCUGGUUGGCCUUUUGAAGAUACCAACCUGUGUGCUAUCCAUGCCACACGUGUAAGAAUUAUGACAAAAGACAUCCAGCUAGCACGCCCCAUACGCGGAGAACGUGCUUAAGAGUCCACUAUGAGGGGAAACAGUUCAUUCUCAAAAAUUUUUUUUCCUCUUCUUCCUGUUAUCAGUAGUUCUGAAUGUUAGAUAUUUUUCCAUGGGGUGAAAGGUACCGAAGUCUAUAAUUCCAAGUGGAAACAUAGGGGACAGAAUCAGGUAUUGGCAGUUUCUCCACGUUCAUUUGUGUGUGAAUUUUUAAUAUAAAUGCAAGAUGUUAAAGCAUUGAUGCAAGCAAAAUGUUUCAGUGAACACAUUUCAACAGUUCAACUUUAUAACAAUUAUAAAUAAACAUGUUAAAAUGCUCUGGACAAUGCCAGCAUUUGGAUUUUUUAAAAAUAAGUAAAUUUCUUAUUGACAGCAA